AUGCCAAAACGGAUGUACUUACCUCAUUCACCUUUCUUGGUGGCUGCUCUUGGUCUCCAAACUGUUGAGAUGCUGCUGCCAUGGUGGAAAUUAAAUUCCUAAUCUCUCGAGGUGAUUUGUCUUCAAUUGACCCUCUACAAGCUGCAUCAAUAAACUUCCUUUCUGCCGGUAGUAAUCCUCCAUAGAAAUAUUCGAUGAGGGAUUUGUCAGAAAUAUCAUGCUGGGGGCAGCUUGUGCACAGCCUCUUGAAUCUCUCCCAGUACUCAUAUAGGCCUUCAGAAUGCUUUUGCCUUAUGCCACUUAUUUCACGACGGAUGCCAAUGGCUUUUGAGGUAGGAAAGAAUUUGCUCAAAAAUGCCCUUACCAUCCCAGCCCAUGAUGUGAUGGAACCGGGUGGUAAGUAAAAUAGCCAAUCCUUGGCAUAGUCUUCAAGAGAGAAAGGAAAAGCUCUAAGUUUGACAUGGUCUUCUGAAAUUCCUUGAGGUCUCAUGGUUGCGCACACAAUGUGGAAUUCCUUCAAGUGCUUGUGAGGAUCCUCAUUUUCAAGGCCUCUAAAUUUGGGAAGGAGAUGUAUCAGACCUGUUUUCAAUUCAAAAGGUGCUGUUAGUUGGGGAUAAGUUAUGCAUAAUGGUGCUUGGUCUUCAGCUGGCAUAGCCAGCUCUCGGAGUGUUCUCUCCCGUGGCUGUGGUGCUUGGACAGGUAGGUUCCCAGCUUGAAUUUCAGCUUCUUCACGUGCAACAGGGGGUUCUACCAUUGCUGGAUUUUCUGCAGUACCCUGGAAUCCUGUUUCUGGUGCAACUUCAGCAGUGGCAGAUGCGGCAGUAGGCGAGUCUGCUGGUGAAAAAAUUUCUGCAGCAGGGGCAGUAGGUGAUUUUGCUGGUGCAGUGGCAGAUCGGACGACAGGCUCCAAAUUAGUUGCUGUUGCUGAUGAAGAUGCUUUUGAGGCUUGGUUCCUCAAGUUUGCUUGCUUCCUUAAGCUUUUGGCGGUGCGUUCUAUCUCCGGAUCAUAAAGAAAAUUUUCUUUACGGCCAGCCCUGGUCAUAAAGGGAAAAUACGUUAGUUUAAAUCAAAUUCCCGGCAACGGCGCCAAUUUUUGAUAGCGGUUGUCGAAGCCGUAAAAAAUAAACCUAUUAGACAAUCAACAAUUAACUUGCAGAUAGUGGCAAUAGGAUCGAACCACAGGGAUUUGACACCAACGAUCUUCCUAAUAAUGACUAAGGCAAAUAAAUAACAAAUAAGUAAAAGAGGGGGGUUUGUUUUGAUGAUUUAAAUCUAAAAAGCAAAAGAGAGCAAUAAUUUAAAUAAAUGAGAAUUUCAAUGGGAAAGAGAUUCUAGUUGAAGUAUGAGUCUAUUUCAGUUUGUUUAGAAUUGAUCAUUGAUUAUUUAAGACUCCUAUUUUAUUUCAAUAAAUUAGUUUUGGUUGUGGAAGACGCUUCUCACAACCAAAUUCCUCCUUAGUUCUAGUUUGAUUAGGAAACGUUCGCCAAUCAAACACUAAUCAACAAGUUGCCAAGGAACGUCCUUGGGGCAUUUAGCAUCGAACAACUGUUGACUGCAUUAAGACUUAGAGAAACCCAAUUCUAUCCUUGCCAACCGCGUGGUCAAGUCUAGAUUAUGCAACUGAUUAUAUUUGUGUUCAAAUAAUAUAAGCAAUUACAGACCUAAAUCAUUCAAACAAUUUAUUACUUAAGCAAAUUAAAAGCAAUGGGCCCUUAUUGAUUCUAAAAGCAAAGUAACAAUUAUAGAAAAGAUCAAGUUGCAUAAAUAUUGAAAGCAAAUAAGAGUUUAACAAUGGAGUUUUAAAUCUCCCAAUUCAUCACAAAUCUGAAUUUCCUCAACUUCAACUAGAAAAGAAUGAAUUUAGCCAUUCAUGGUGGACAAAGUACACAAAAGAAAGAAGAAAGGAAGGAGAAGGAGAGUCGGCUGUAAUUCUGCAGAAUUUCCGAGGAGGAGAGGAUGAUGCUUUGCUGGUUUGGAGGCUGCCUUCUUAUAGCUGGAGAGUCCAAGUUCAAUUAGGGUUUGAAAUCCCUAUUUUGACUUGGUCUUUGUGGUCUUUAAUUCCUCUUUGUUUUUGAAUUUUGUUGUAGACGGAAUUCUCUUGGUAGAAGGACAUCCUCGUGACUUUUGGAAUUGAGAUGGUGGUGUUUGAGGUGGAUUUGGGCUUCUUUUCUUUUGAAUUCUGAAUUUCUGCACUUUUCCCGCCUCUGCUGUCUUUUCUAUGUGAAAGUGAUUUGGGCGGGUGAUUUGGGCAAAUCGCUUUGACCCAAUCACUUCUGAAAAUUCACUUCCAGGUUUUUCUGCCUCAGCUCGAUUGCUCUGCUUCCUUUGUCUGAUUUGACCAAAUUGCUCUGACCCAAUCACUUUCCUGUGAGAUGGUUCCAGGUUUCUGCUUCAGCUAGAUUUGGGCAGUGAUUUGGCCAAAUCACUUUGACCCAAUCACUUUUCCAGCUUUUUUCUGCACUUUUUCUACAAUUUUCCAUUUUCUUCCUUUUCUUUAAAAACAUAACAAAAACAUAAAUUAAGAUAGAAAAAUGUGUAAAUAAGCAAUAAUAAAGAUAAUGAAAAUGUGGCUAAUUUAUGUUUGAUCACCUAUAUAGAGCUUUUCAUCAACCAAUUUACCCUUUUCAUUCUUGUCAAGCUUGGUGUUUGUACUCAUUGGAGUUCUAUUAGGCUUGCUAUUCUCCAUUCUGAAUCUUUUAGUUAGCUCCUUUGUGUACUUAGCUUGGUUGAUGAAGAUGUCAUCCUUAGCUUAUUUGAUUUGAAGCCCAAAGUAGAAUUUGAGAUCUUCCAUCAUGCUCAUCUCAAACUUACUUUUCAUUACUUUUAAAAAUUCUUCACACAAAUACACAUUAAUAGCACCAAAUAAAAUAUCAUUAAUAUAUAUUUGCAUUACAAGGAUGUCAUUUCCAUGAUUUUUGACAAAAAGAGUUGCAUCUACCUUACCUUUUGAAAAAUCAUUUUGCAAAAUAAAAUUACUUAAUCUUUUAUUCCAAGCUCUUGGAGCUUAUUUUAAACCAUAUAAAGUUUUUUACAAUUUAAAAUAUGCUUUGGAAAAUAAUAAUUUUCAAAAUCGGGAGGUUGCUCAACGUAAACCUCCUCCACAAUAAAACCAUUUAAAAAUGCAUUUUUCACAUCCAUUUAAAAAAACUUAAAAUUCAUGUAAGAUGCAUAUGCAAGCAUGAUUCUAAUGACUUAUAAUCUAACUACGGAGGCAAAAGUCUCAUUAUAUUCUAUGCCCUUCUCUUAGUUAUAACCUUUAGCUACCAACCUAAAUUUGUUCCUAGUAAUAUUUUCAUCUUCAUUAAGCUUGUUUCUAAACACCCAUUUGAUGCCUAUGGUAGAGUGAUAUUUAGGUCUAGGAACUAAGGUCCAAACCUUAUUCUUUUCAAAUUGGUUGAGUUCUUCUUGCAUAGUAAGAACCCAACUCUCAUCACUAAUGGCCUCAUCUAUGGACUUAGGUUCUAUAUGAGAUAUGAAUGCAAUGUUAUUAUAUACAUAUCUAAUAGAGGAUCUAACUGUUACCCCCUUAUAAUGCAUCACUAAUUAUUUGAUCCUUGGAAUGAUCAUUUUUGUAGGUCCAAUCCUUUGGCCAGUCAUGUUAGACUCCUUGGCUUUGUAUAAGUUGCAUUUAUUACUUUCAGAGUCUAAUCUCAUCUUCCUUUGCCUCCAUAGGAUCCGCUUUGGGUUGAAUUUGAUCUAUAUGGAUUGAGGAUCUUCAAUAGUCAACUCAUCAAGGUUACUUACAAGAUUAUCAUCACAAACUAUCUCCUUUCUAAGAGCAAAGGGAUUAGAUUCAUAAAAAAUGCAUUAACUCUUCAACUAUCAGUGUUCUCUUAUUGAAUACUCUACGUAAUUUACUAGAUGUAAAGUAUCCUAAGAAGAUACAUUCAUCAGUUUUAGAGUCAAAUUUACCUAAAUUAUCCUUAUGUUUAAGAUAAAGCAUUUACAACCAAAAACUCUAAAAUAACCAACUCUAGAUUUUCUUCCAUUCCAAAGCGCAUAAGGGAUUUUAUUUAGAAGAGGUCUAAUUAAAACUUGAUUUGAAACAUAACAAGCCGUAUUAAUAGCUUCUACUAAAAAAUAGGUAGGUAGAUUAUAUUUUCUUAAUAUAGUCCUCCCCAUAUCUAAAAGAUUUCUAUUUUUUCUUUCAAUAACACCAUUUUAUUGGGGAGUCCUAGGAGAUAAAAAAUUAUGAGUGAUUCCUAACUUGUUAUAAAAAAAUUCAAACUUCUCAUUUUCAAAUUAUCUACCACGAUCACUCUUUAUUAAAGCAGUUGAAAACCUUUUUUGCUUUUAACUUUCUUGGUAAGACUUUUAAAAGCAUCAAUACAGUCAUCCUUAUGAGUAAGGAACACAAUCCAAGUAUAUCUAUAGUAGUCAUCUACUAUGACAAAAUCAUAAUGCAUGCCACCAAGACUAACUUCUGUAGUUAGACCCAAAAAAAUCUAUAUGCAAAAGUUGUAGAGGUCUAGAAGUGGUUACCUUAUUAAUAGAUUUAAAAAAACUUUUAACUUGCUUAUUCAUUUGACAAGCAUCACACACUUUGUCCUUUUAAAAUUUGAUCUUUGGAAGGCCAUCAACUAACUCAUCCUUACUCAAAUUUUUUAGAAGAUCCACGCUAGCAUGAGAGAGUCUCUAUGCCAAAUCCAAGAGUUAUCACUAUUCCUACAAUUCCACCUUUUUAAUUAUCUCCAAAGGUCACUUGUCCAUUACCAUCCUUCUCUUCAAAAGAGAUUAAGUGACUAGAAUUUAUGGUCCUGUUCCUUGAACAUCUAUUAUCCAAAUACCAUUUGCUUUCAAGUUUUGAGAAUUUCAAGCACACCUACAAGAAGAGAUUCAAAUAACUUUAGGUAUCCAAAUUUACUUGGGUCCUUGGGGCUUAGUCAUUUCAUUUUUCUAUUUCCAUAUACUUCCAUAUCCAAGAUUUACUUUUCUAAUAGCACAUCUAUAGUUGGUGUGAUCAAAUUUGCCAUAAUAGUGACAAUGACCAUUUAACCUUCUUGUUCUAGGUCCAUAGGUAAAUUAGUGUGCUUGUGUUCUUAUAUAGUCAUUUCUCUUUUGUCCAUUAUAAGCAUGUGAGCAAGAAGUAUGAUGAGUGUGAUGAUUAUGUGAACUAGAAAUAUGUGGUCUAUAAUUAGCAUUUCUUUUAUAUGAAAAUUGCCUAGGUAUAUAUUGUUGUAUGAACAUUGUGUCUAGUGGAUUGAUGUACAUGUGCAUUCUUUAUAGGUGCAUUUCCACUGGGAGCUUUAAGUUCAUGCCCAUUAGAGGUAGACACCUUAGGUUCAUUCAAAUUAGUAGUUUUAAUAAAAAUAGUUUUGGAAGGACUUACUUGAGUUGAUUUAUUAUAGCCAAAGCCUACUUGAUGCUAGGAGAUAUUUAAGAGUCUAAUAUUUCAUCAAGUUUAUCCUUAUCUUUUAAAAAUUUUGAAAGAGAAUUUUUCAAUCUAAGGAUUUCAUUUUUAAAAUUUUUGUUUUCUAGUGAGAGCUCAUCUAAGGAUUUUUGUAAAUCAUCAUUUGAGGGUGAAGAAUCCUUAGGUGAGUUCUCACUUUCUAUUCUUAAGCUAACUAAUUUAUGUUUCAAAACUUUAUUUUUCUUACAACUCUUUUCUAGUUCAUCAUUCAUCAAUUUUAAAGCACUAACAAGUUCAUCAUAUGAAAAUUCAACAACAUCAUCACACAUGGUAAUAUCAUCAAGUGUAGUUACCUCAUUGGAGCUUUUCUCUAAGGCCAUGAAGCAAAUGCUGAUAACUCCUUCACCAACGUCCUCCUCUUCGAUGUCACUUGACUCAUCUCAUGUUGCUUAGAAUGCCUUCUUCUUGAACUUUUUAAUAGGCUUCUUCAACUUGAAUAAUCUACUUUUAGUGACUCAGUUUAUUGCACUCAUAAUAAAUAAUCAAUUUCUUCUUGCUUGAUUCACCUUUGUCCUUUCUAAACCUUUUAUUUGGGAUGAAAUUUUCAUUUUGAAAGAGCAACUUUCUUAUCCUCCUAGUCACCAAGGAUAAUUCUUCUUCAUUUAGCUCUUCUUCUUCCUCACUAGAGUCUUCAGAAGAUACCCUUAAAGCAAUGUUCUUUUUCACUUUGCUAGGUUCCUCCACUUGCUCUCUCUUUAGUGUCAUCUCAUAAUCAAUGAGAUUUCCUAAAAGCUCAUCUAAUUUUACCUUAUUUAAGUCUUUAGCAUCCUUUAAAGAGGUCACCUUAGGUAGCCAAUCCUUAGGUAGACAUCUAAGAAUUUUCUUCACCAAUUCCUCAUUUGUGAAUGUCUUCCUAAGGGAUUUUAUCACUCCAAUAAUCUCAAUGAACCUAUCAUAUAUUUGGAUAAUGGUUUCAUCGGAUUUCAUUUUGAACAAUUCAUAUUGGUAGAUAAGGGAUUCUAUCUUAUUUUUUUACUUGAUUGGUAACUUUAUGAGUGACAAAUAAAGUAUCCCAAAUCUCCUUGGUGGUAGACUUCAUGCAUACUUUGUUGUACUCACUUCUACUAAGAGCACAAAAUAAAAUGUGAAUGGAUUUAUCAUUAAGGGCUACUUUUCUCUUCUUUAGUUCACUCCAUUCGCUCUUAGGCUUUUGCUCUUGUUUUUACUCUACCAUUUUAUUAGAAAGAAAGGGUCAUUCUCCAUAAUAUCCCACAAAUCAACUCCUACUUAUUUUAGAAAAUAGUACAUUCUAUUUUUUUCAAUAUAAAAAGUCAUUUCCAUCAAAGAAGGAUGGUCUCACAAUAGAUUGACUUUCUUGAGUAUUGAGGGUUGCCAUUAAUUUUUACUCCAAGAUUAUUAAAUCUUUUAAAAAGGGAGACCAGCUCUAAUACCACUUGUUGUCCCUUGAAGCAACUUAAGAGAGAGGUGUAUUGAGUUUAUAAAAAUUUAAGGGCUAAAAACACAAGUUAAAAAGGAAUAAGAAAGGAAGAGUGAUAAUGAACACAAGGAUUUAUAGAAGUUCAACUAUCUCAAGCCUAUGUACUCUCUUCAAGGCCCUCCUUGAGAGUUCAAGUCCACUAUUAAAUCUUCUUUGGGUGAAAAUUAAAAUCUCUUACAAUUCUAGAGCAAAACCCUUAAUCUUUACAAUCCUCUUUUUAUCACAAGAGCAAUCAUUUGCUCAAAACUACACCCAAUAUAAUAAAUUUACACAACAACCCUCACUUAAUCUCAAAACACAAAACAAUUACAACUCAAAACUAUCUUUUAAGAAAUUAAUGCUAUGACUCAAGGUUUAGAGAGAGAAAAAGUGACAAGUGCUUUAAUCUCAAUAAAUAUAUGCUCAAAUGGUUAUUGUAAAUUUUUCCAUAUGAAAGACACAUUAUAUUUAUAGUUCUAAUAUAAAUAUGGCCAUUGGGGGUACAUUAAAUACAAAUAGAACUGUUUAUAUACUGAAAUAACUGUUAUUUUGUACUUAGAAAAACUCAAGUUUGGUGGCCUAAAGUUAAAUUUUGGGGGUCGAACCAUUGGAGGUGAAAAUAAAAACCUUUGAAAAUAGAAUUUUGGAGACCUAAAGUCCUCACCUUUGGUGGCCAAAUAUUACAACUUUUGCCUCUGUUUCUCUUUCUCUCUGUCGCCUAAAGUUCACUUUAGGGGGCACAAAGUCUUUCAUUAAAUAUUUAAAAAAUCACAACUUAGACUACAGAACUCUGAUUUUCAAUCUGUUUGAACUCUUGUAACCUAUAUUUUAAAAUAUUUUACUUUUUAAAAAAAGAAAAAUAAAAGCACUCUAUUUGUAAAAUUUUAUUUUGAUCCUUCAAAGAGUUAUGGAGUAAAAACUUAAAUUAUAAAAUUUCAAUUUUUAUUCUACUUGAAUUGUUGUAACCUAUAAUUUGAAGUCUCUUAUUUGAUAGAAAAGUAUCUUAAAAAAGGCUCCAUAUAUAAAUUUUAUUUUGAUCUUACAAAAAUAAUUUCUUAAAAAUUGGUCAUAUUUUUAAGUUUUAGAGUUUAAAACAUGAAUUCGAGCUAACACAAUUAAUUCAUUGAAAUUCACAAUGUGUAAAAAAAAAUUACACUUUGGUCUCUUUCUUGUAGUAUGCUUCCAAUCUUGACACUUUUCAUUUUUGAAAUUGAAGCAAGUCUAUUUAUUUAAAUUAGAGGCCUAUAAGCUCACACAAACACUUCUAAAGAUAAUUAGUAGCUCACCAAUUAUUUAUUAGUAUCAUAAUAAGGAUUAGAAUACUUAGGUCCAAUAAUAUCGAUGCAUACGAUGCUGUAAAGAAAGGUAUUAGAUAAGAAAGUUUGACAUAAAACUAGAUGUUGUUCCCUCCAUUGUGUCACUUAUUUCCCUCCAUUGUGACAACAAUGGUAACAUAACUCAAGCAAAGGAACCUAAGUGUUAACAAAAAAUACAAACACAUAGAGAGGUGGCUUCAUAUUAGUAGAUAGAUAAUUGGGAAAGGUGACGUGGAUGUGUAAAAAGUAGUUUCAGAAUGAGAAUGUAGCUGAUCCACUUACAAAAGCUAUGAGCCAGUGAUAGUUAAGCAUCUCAUGAAGUUGAGUUGACUGUGCGGUUGUCGAAGCCUGUCAAAAAUAACCUUUCUAGUUAUCUACAAUUUUACAACUGUAGAUAGUGGUAAAAGAAUCGAAUCCACAGGGAAUUGAUACUUACUUAUCUUCCUAUCAAUGACCAAGUAAAUAAAUAGACGAUAAAAGUAAAAAGGGGAUUUUUGAAGUUUGAUGAUUUAAACUAGAAUUAAAAGUAAUAAACUAAAGCAAAUAAUUAAAGUAAAGAGAAUUCAAUAAUAAGAAAACUCUAGUUGAAGAAUUGGAUCCACUUCAGUUGUUUGGGAUUGAUCAUCGACACUUAGGUUUUUUUAUUUGGCUCAAUAAAUUAGUUAUGGAGGUGGAAGACGCUUCUCACCUCCAUAUGCCUCCUUAGGCAUAGAUUAAUUAGGGAACAUCCUCUAAUUAAUAACUAAUCAACAAGUUGCCAAGGAACGUUCUUGGGACUUUUAGCAUCUAACAAUUGUCAAUUGCAUUAAGAGAUAGAGAGACUUAAUUCUAGCUACCCAAACGUAUGGUGAUCUUGCUAGAUUAUGCAAUCUACUUGGUUUUUAUACCAAGAGUUACUUGUGUUUGAACAAUUCAAGCAAUUAUGGACUUAAAACUAUCCAAACAAACAAAUUAUUACUUUGCAAUCAAGAAUCAAUGGGCCCUAUUGAUCUAAAUAACAAAGCAACAAUGGAAUUAAACAUGAAAUUGCAUAAAUAUUGAUAAAUAAAAUGACAUAAUAGGUUCAGAUCUGCCAAUCCAUAAACAACUUAAAGUUUCACCUAAUCUUCAACUAGAAAAAAAGGGUUUCAGCCACUCAUGGCUGAAACUAACACAAAAGAAAAGAAAGAAAGCAAGAAAAAGGAUGAAGAAGGGCUGGCUGGUGCGCACAGCUACUGUGCGAGUUCUGUCGAAGAUUAUCUGUUGAUGACAACCUCCUUUGUUGCUGGUUUGAUCCCCUUUUUAUAGCUGAAUAUGUGAGGCCCUUAGUUUCUUGAUUUGAAUUGAGUUCUUUUCCUAAUUGGAGUUGAAUUCUUGGAAGGGAAGUGUAUUCUCUUGAGAUUUGGCUUCCUAGAUAUAUGGGAUUGAGUGCUGAGGUGGUUUGAAGGGUUGCUGAGCUGUCCUCACAUGUUUGGGGAGGAAAAGAUCUCUUGAAGAUUUGAAAUUUGAAUUCUCGCUUCUCUACUAGCCUGCUGUCGCAGGCCUUGUUUGCCCGGGUUGUGUGGGCAAACAGCUCGGGCAAAUAGCCUGUCUUGCUUGCUGUCUGCACUUUGUUUCUGUCUUGCGGGGCUGUUUGCCCAGUUAGCUUGGGCAAACAAGCUAGUCAAACAGCAAGUCUGUGCUUUCUCAUCUAUCUCCCAUUUUAGCUUCAACUCGGUUUGGGCAAACAACUUGGGCAAACCAGGCUUGUCCUCUUUUGCUCUCUUUUGGGCUGUUUUAAGGCCAUUUUUACCAAAUUACUCUUUUACACAAUUUUCUGUAAAAUAAUAUCAAAACCACAAAAUUAGGUAGAAAAUGUAUAAAUUAACAUAAAUAACAACAUGAAAAAUGGGUCUAAAUUUGGCUUGAUCAAAUACCCCACACCUAACCCUUUACUUGUCCUCAAGCAAAUAAACUUAGUCAAACAAGCUCUCUUUACUACUUGAUCCUUUAUUUCCACUUAAACUCUUACCCUAGACCCCCUACUUUGAAGCAUUGCAGUGAAGAGUGUAUGCACCAAGGUUACUUUCCUUCUUUCCUUGUUUCCCUUUACCUGCCAUGGUUAGUAAUUGUUUUCCUCAUUAGAGAGAUUAUACAUGCACAUAUUCUUGUUUAGUUUAGACUCUUUCUAGCUUUCGGAGUGAUUUGCCCUUACUUGAAGCACCUUAUUCAGCUUUUUGCACUUUUAUUUUUACCUAAAGAAGUCACCAACCUUUUGACGCGAGAGUACAUAUUUGUGAUACCCACCCCCGGUUACUCAGUUGGUCACCUGUCCAAGUGGCUACUAGCUCUGUUCAUAGUCUUUAACCAUUGGAAUAGUUUUUAUUUUGUGCUUUUAAGGUCUUUGCCUUUGCUGAAUUUUUCUUUUUUUUUUCUUUUUCUCAAUGAAUUGGGCAAAUCAACACCAAUUGCUAAAAUACAUCAUAUUUUGUUAUUCACACAUCUUUCAUUUUAUUAUUCUCUCUAAUGAGUAAUGUCAUAUAUUUUUCACCAUGGCAAGCUCAAAGAUUCAAUUCAAAAGGAAAUUCCCAAAAAUGAAUACAACUCACUAUAAUUGAUUCAACUUAGAUUUAAAGAGUCAUCACAUCAAUGGGGUCAUGGAAAGAAAACUUAUUCAACAUAACCUAUGUGUUUGAGUAAAGCAUAUGAAAACAGAAAAUAGAAAAAAAAACUGUGGCUACAUGUGUGUGAAUUGAAAACAAAAAUAACAAAAAUGAAAAAAAUUCACCUAAUGUGUGCUAAUUUAAAAAUUAAAGCUUAAAUGGAUAUAAAAGAAAUAAAAAAGAGUGCAUGAAGCAUCAAAAUUCAGAGAUAUGCACCCCCACACCUAAAUCAUGCAUUGCCCUCAAUGUAUUGAAAGUAUUAAAGUUUAAAAGAAAAAGUGAAUACUCCCCUAGUGUGGUUGUUUGCCCAGUCUGUUUGGGCAAACAGCUUGGUUGAACAGCGUCAGGUAGCGCUUCUGGUGGGUCGCUGGCAAUGUCGCGCGUGAGGGCCUGUUGUUUGCCUAGUUGCGUGGGCAAACAAGCUGGUCGAACAAGUGUCCCGCGUUAUUGCAGCGUGCUGCGUGCGUCUCUGUGGUGUGGGCAGACUGUGUGCCAAUCCGCUUUCUGUCUCAUGGGUUGUCUCCGCUGUUUUCCAUUUUGUUUGGGCAAACAGUUUGGCCAAAUAGCUUUGCACCUGCAAAACAACUAAAACUUGAAAGUGGGUUGAGGCGCUAGUUCCUGCACACCUGGUCUUGUUUGCCCCUGUUGUUUGGGCAAACAAUCACAUAUCUCUGUUUUUUUUUAUUUAUUUUACAAGCUUUGUUCCUAUGGAGGAUGAUUUAGUGGAACUUCUUCUACUACUUGUACUGUAAACUUCUCAUAGAACGGUUUCAGACGAUGUCCAUUUACUUAGAAGACUUUUCUGGUUUCCAGACUGCGGAUAUCUACGGCUCCAUGGGGAUAAGUAUGCUCCAUAAUCAAUGGCCCAAUCCACCUAGACUGUAGCUUACCUGGGAAUAAUUUUAAACAAGAAUCAACGAGUAGAACUUUAUCAUCGACCUUGAAUUAUUUUCUCGAAAUAUGGUGGUCAUGGAAGGCUUUGUUCCUGGCUUUGUAGUUCCAAGAAGUCUUGUAAGCAUCUCGUCUUAUCCCUUCUAGUUCUUGUAGUUGCAACUUCCGAUGUGUUCUAGCCUCCUUGAGAUCCAUGUUGCAAUUCUUGACAGAGCAAUAAGCCUUAUGUUCAAGCUCGAUUGGAAGAUGACAGGCCUUACCGUAGAUCAAUCUGUAGGGAGACAUUCCUAUAGGCGUUUUGUAGGCUGUCCUGUAUGCCCACAAGGCAUCUUUCAGCCGUACACUCCAAUCUUUUCUAUUGGGGCUCAUUGUGUUUUCUAAGAUGGCCUUGAUUUCUCUAUUAGAUACUUCAGCUUGCCCAUUCGUUUGAGGGUGGUAGGCUGUGGAUGUUCUGUGUAUGACAUGGUACUUUUUGAGAAGAUUUUCCACUAUCUUGUUACAAAAGUGAGUCCCUCUAUCGUUGAUGAUUGCCUUAAGCACCCCAUGCCUAGCAAAGAUGUUAGUCUUCACAAAAUCCACUACCGCCUUUACAUCAUCGGUUCUUAUUGCUCUGGCCUCUAUCCAUUUGGACAAAUAAUCCACUGCGAGGAUUAUAUAGGUAUAUCCGAAGGAUGGCGGGAAUGGCCCCAUGAAGUCUAUACUCCAUACAUCGAAUAUCUUGCCAACCAUGAUAGGAUUUUGAGGCAUUUGAUUUUUGUUGCUUAGAUUUCCAGUCUGCUGGCAUGGUGCACAUGAUCUGCAAAACAAAUAGGCAUCUCGAAAAAUGUUAGGCCAAAAUAGUCCACUUUCGAGGAUUUUGUGGGCUGUCUUUUGUGGUCCAAAGUGUCCACCGCAACUGUAUGCAUGGCAAAAUUUAAGGACUGAGGCUAUCUCCUGAUCGGGUAUGCACCUCCUUAUCACUUGGUCAGAACAAUGCUUCCAAAGGUAUGGUUCAUCCCAAACGUAGUACCUUGCACUCUUCUUUAUUUUGUCUUUUGUGUGCUUGGGCAUAUCAGAAGGUAAGUUAACUGUGCCUAGGUAAUUCACAAUGUCUGCGUACCAUGGUUCAUCAACUUGGGCAUAGAACGAAUGUUCAUGGAGGUGAUUGUCAUUUUCUGCAUAUUCCAAAAGUUGCUGUGUUGAGAUCUGCUGUUCGGGCAAACAAUAUUCUGCCUCAUUUUGCUGUUCAGGUAGACAGCUUGCUGCUUGUGUCGUCUGCAUGGCUUGUUUGGUCAAACAAGUGUCUGUUUGCUUUUCAUCUGCUGGGUGCUUGGUCGAACAGCAACUCACCUGUGCUAACGAUCUAGUCUUGCUGGAUUCUGCCCUCUCUUGCUGUUUGGGCAAACAGCAAUCUUCUUCACACCUCCUUGCUGGUUGUUCAUGUAAACAGUAUUCUGACUUUCCAGGUGACUCUGCUGCAUGCUCAACUAAUCUGGGCAUGCUGUUUUCUGCUUGCUGAGGUGGUAUGGAGGAUUCUGCCCUCUCUUGCUAUUUGGGCAAACAACAAUCUUCUUCACACCUCCUUGCUGGUUGUUCAUGUAAACAGUAUUCUGACUUUCCAGGUGACUCUGCUGCAUGCUCAACUAAUCUGGGCAUGCUGUUUUCUGCUUGCUGAGGUGGUAUGGAUGGACUGCAAUCUGUCUAAUUUGGCUGCUAGACCUAUUUGGGCAAACAACAGUUUGCCUGUUUUUUCUCUACUGUCUGUUUGGGCAGACAGCAGUCUAACUGCUAUACAUAGCAAAUUGCUUCAGUCCUUCCUAGCUCUUUUCGACCUCUUUCAUCUUCUUGGCUGGCCUCCCUGCAAAAAUCAUCGUUUAGCAUAUCAUUUUGAUUCAUGUCAAAAAUUUCUUGGCUCAAACAAUCAAUGAUAUCUGAUAGCGGUUGUCGAAGCCGUAAAAAAUAAACCUAUUAUCAAUCAAUAAAAUAAUUUGUAGAUAGUGGCAAUAAAGUCGAACCACAGGGAUUUGACACUAAAGAUCUUCCUAAUUAUGACUUGGACAAGUAAAUAAAAAAAAAUAAAUAAAAAGAGGGAGGUUUGUUUUGAUGAUAAUGAAUUAAAACUAAAUAGUAAGAGAAAACGAUAGUUAAAAAGAUGAGUAAAUCAAUGGGAGAAAAGCUCUAGUUGAAGUAUGGAUCUAUUUCAGUUGUUUAGAAUUGAUCAUUGAUUCUUUGACACUCCUAUUUAUUUCAAUAAAUUAGUUUAGGUUGUGGAAGACGCUUCUCACAACCAAAUUCCUCCUUAAUUUUAGUUUGACUAGGAAACGUUCGCUAAUCAAACAUUAGUCAACAAGUCGCCAAGGAACGUCCUUGGGGUUUUUUACUUUUCAACUAUUGACUGCAUUAAGACUUAGAGAAACCUAAUUCUAACCUUACCAACCGCGUGGUCAAGUUUAGAUUAUUCAACCAAGUGUGCUUGUGUUCAAACAAUCUAAGCAAUUACGGACCUAAAUUAUUUAAACUAACAAUUUAUCACUUAUGCAAUUAAAAGCAAUAGGCCUUAAUUGAUUCUAAUAGCAAAGCAAUAAUAGCGUGAAGAACAAGUUGCAUAAAUAUUGAAAAAUACAAGUUUAACAAUGGACACAAAACUGAAAUUUCCUAACUUCAACUAGAAUAGAAGGUGUUUAGCCACUCAUGGUGGACAAAAAUACACAAAAAGAAAGAAGAAAAGUAGAAGAAGAGAGCUGCUGUGUUGCUUGCUGAAUUUCUGCAGUAAAUUCUAUGUCCCCCCUGCUGGUUUGUGACUGUCUCCUUUUAUAGGUGAAGAGUCUUAGUCCAAUUAGGAUUUAGAAUCCUAAUUUGACUUGGUCUUUUGUAGUCUUUUAUUCCUUUUUGCUUUUGUAUUUAAUCAUGAAUAAAUCUUCUUCUUGGAGAAAGUCUUUCUUGAGAGUGACUCUUGGAGAUGUCAUAGGAUUGGUCUUGUGGUGUUUGAAGUAGGAUAGGACUCCAACAUAUUUGAAAUUUUGAUUUUUCCUUCUUCCCACGCUACUGUCCUUGUCUGCGUCAUUUUGAUUUGGGCAGUUGGUUUGGGCAAAUCGCUUGCCCAAAUCGUUUCUGUGAGUCACUUCCAGGUUUCUGCUUCAGCCUUCUGCUUUAGUUUUCUGCGGGCGAUUUGGCCAAAUCACUUCGACCAAAUCAAUUUUUCAGCUUUUUCUGCAAUUUUUCUCCAAGUUUUCGGUUUUCUCAUUUUCUGUAAAAACAUGAAUUAAACUAGAAAAUUGUGUAAUUAAAUAGUAAUAAAGAUAAUAAAAAUGUGGCUAAAUUAUGUUUGAUCAAAUAUCCCCAUACCUAGCCUUUUGCUUGUUCUCAAGCAACAAGUAACUUAGUCAAUCAAGCCCCUUUUUCUUUUGAGCCUAAGUACCACUUAAUUAGCCCCCCUAGACUCCUAAAUUGAAGCACUAUAGUGUAGAGUACAUGCACUAGGGUUGUCCUCUCUUUCCUUGUUUCCCUUUACCCACCAUGGCCAAAAGUUUUUGAUUUGAUCAUGCUUUAUUCUUUCGUUUUAGGCUUAAUGCAGCCCCUAAGAGUGACUUGCCACCUUUAAAGAAUUUUUAUUCAGCAGCACUUAUUCUUGCUUGAAAAAAUCACCAACCUUUUUACGCGAAAGUGCAUAUUGGUGAUACCCACCCCGGUUACUCAGUUGGUCACUUGUUCAAGUGGCUACUAGCUCUGUUCAUAGUCUUUGACCAUCCAAACAGGUUAUGUUUUGUGCUUUUUGAUUUUGCUGAGUUAUUUCUUCUCUUUUUUCUUUUCUUUUUCUUUUUUCAUAACAGUUUGGGCAAAUAAGCUCAUAGAGAGUUACACUAACUUUUUAUUGUAUGUAUAUAUAUUUUUCCCUUGACUAUAGCAAGUGCAAAGAUUCAAUUUAAGAGAAAAACUCCCUAAGUGAAGGUAACACACUAUAAAUGAUUCAAUUUAUGUAACGACCCGGAAACCGGACCGCUACCAGCGCUAGGAUUCAGAUCGACUUAAAGUCGCCGGGACCCGUAGCAAGCCUACUAUACAACCUGUACACCUGAUAAAAUUCUAUACAUGAUCAAACAUUUUCAUAAAAACUUUAAACUUUCCAUAUACCAAGCUUGACCUGUGCAUGCACCAUAACUAUAAACAUAAAACCCCACACUAGAGCCCUCAUCAAAUGCCCUAGCGGGGUAGCAUAUUAUAUGUCAAGCCUGGUUUAACAUAAUUCAUCAUCAAAACAUUAACACAAGAUCAUGUACAAAAAGGGGAUUACCACUACUAUUAGGGCCAAGCACAAAACUAAACCAUGAAACAUUCUUUACAUUACAUUACAUCAUACCAUUUUACAUUUCAUGUCCGCUACUAAUCUAUUACAAUAACACAACUUUCAACCUUGACGACUUCUCAAUCUAUCCUGAACCUGCGAACCUGGGGGUUAGCGGAAAGGGGAUGAGCUACAAAAGCCCAAUGAGCAGAAUAAUAAAACAAUUUAAAUAUCACAUGCUUUUAUGAAAUGCAUCACAACACAAGUAAAUCACCUUAAGAUGGUAUUGUCACCAAUAGUCCUCUACAUAUCCAAUAAAUGCCCAGCCUUCGACGGAGCUCCUCAAGACUUCCCCUUAAACAUAACAUAACAUGUCCAACUGUGCCAGGGGUGUAGAAUGGGCAACCCUUGUCUUUCCCUUACUCUAUGCCAGGGGCGUAGAAUGGGCAGCCCUGGUCUUUCCGUAUCAUAUCAUCACAUAUCGAGAGCUAAUGGAUCAUCCAAUAUCCAUCCACAUUAACAACAAAUUAUGCAAUGCAUCAUAUUCAUGAAUUCUAAUGCAACAACCUAUAAACAUGGCAAUCGUGAUGCAUGAACAUGCUUAGGAGUUUAAUUACUUUAAAAAUAGAAAGUAGUUCUGUUCUACUCACCUCUAGCAGAUACUGGACUGACUCUGAAGUAGCUAUCUCACUGCUGAACUCCUCGGUUCCUCGGGUCCGAUCUUACACAGGUGGACUCAAAUGAGGGACCAAACAAACUCUAACAUGACUCUUAGCAACUCCCCAAAAACCCCCUAAAACAUCAUAAAAUAUUCAUAGAAAACAUGCAAAGGAAGGCUGGACAGGGCACUUUCGGCGGCAGGUUCGGCGGCCGAAAGUCCCUCCAGAGCCGAAAGUCAGGCACUUUCGGGAGCAGGGUUCGGCAGCCGAAAGUCCUUCCAGAGCCGAAAGUCACCCACUUUCGGGGGCAGGUUCGGCGGCCGAAACUCCCCUCUAGAGCCAAAAGUCCAAACUUUCGGGGGCGAGUUUAGGCUGCCUAAACUGCCUUCCCUGGCAGGUUCGGCGGUCGAACCUGGAUCCUUUUAAGUGGCAGAACCCGAUUCUGCCAUCCCACAUUCAGCCAUCCCAACUUUCCAACAUGCAUUCAACUAUUCUAAAAUAUGCAUAAACACUUAUUCAAGCAUAUAGGGGCAUAAAACUAGCCUAUACCCCAACAAACAUCACAUUAAGCAUACUUUUAUCAAUAACCACACAUAAACUCUAACAUUUUUACAACUAGCCUAAACAUGCAUCAAAACCCUUAACCCCUUCAUAAAACUUACUUCAAACAUCAUAAGAGGCGUGGAUCGACACUUACCUCUUGAAGAUCGAGAGGAGAGGUGAUCCAAACUUGGAGAUUGGGAGAAAACGAGCUCCGGGGGUCUCCAAGCUUCAAAACUCUGAUCUUAGCUCAAAACCUUCAAAACAAAGUAAAAACUCAUCAAAACUUAAAGGGAUUUGAAGAAAAACAACAAAUUGACCAUGGAAGGGCGAAAUCUCACCUAUGCCCAAAAAUAGAGAGAGAAAACUCGCCCAUUUUCGGACAAGGGGCCUUUUGUAGGUGGCUGGCCAGACCACCUUCGGGGGCCAAAGGUGCUUCUGCAAACUCCUCAUGUUCGGCGGCCGAACCUGGGUUUUCUUCCUUGGUCUUUUUCUUUCAAAACUCAAUUUCUUUCUUUAUUAAAACCAUAAAAACACAUGAAAACACUUUAGAAAACCAUAUUCUACCGUUCUAGAGGGUUACGACAUCUGAGAUUCCGCUGGAAAGUGGGAAUUCCGAUGCCAGGGUCUAGCUGGGUAUUACAUUCUCCCCCCCUUAAGAACAUUCGUCCCCGAAUGUUCAACAAACAAGCAUAGCAUAAACAGAACCACAUAAACAUAUAAAAACACUAACCUUAAAAGAGAUAGGGGUAUUAUUAGAGUAUAGACUCCCGUGUCUCCCAGGUACAUUCUUCUAUGUUGUGGUGAUUCCAAAGGACUUUCACCAUUGGGAUUUCCUUGUUCCUCAGCUUUUUGAUCUGCGUGUCCAGGAUCCGCACCGGCUGCUCAAUAUAGGUGAGAUGUCCUAGGAUCUCCACAUUAGGCUCAUUAAGAACCUUGCCCGGAUUUGACAUGAACUUCCGUAACAUGGAAACAUGGAAAACCGAAUGGAUUCUCUCCAUUGAAACAGGCAAAUCCAGCUUGUACGAUACAUUCCCAAUCUUCUGCAAGAUUUCAAAGGGUCCGAUGUACCGUGGAGCUAGCUUACCUUUCUUCCCAAAACGAAUCACCCCUUUCAUAGGAGACACCUUGAGCAACACCAUAUCUCCCUCCUGAAACUCUACAAGCUUCCUGCGGACAUCUGCAUAGCUUUUCUGCCGACUCACAGCAGUCUUGAUCCUUUCUCUGAUGAUGGACACUACUCUGCUGGUGAUCUCUACUAGUUCAGGCCCUGCCAAGGCCCUUUCUCCAACUUCUUCCCAGCAGACAGGUGACCUGCACUUCCUUCCAUACAAAGCUUCAUAUGGAGCCAUCCCUAUGCUAGCAUGAUAGCUGUUAUUGUAGGCAAACUCCACCAAAGGUAGGUGCUGCCUCCAAGAACCGCCAAAAUCUAGCACCCACAUUCUGAGCAUAUCUUCUAUGGCCUGGAUGGUCCUCUCUGACUGUCCGUCAGUUUGUGGAUGGAAAGCAGUGCUAAAAUCUAGCCUGGUACCCAUAGCAUUAUGCAAACUCCACCAAAACCUGGAGGUGAACUGGGGUCCCCUAUCUAACACUAUUGAAACGGGAGACCCAUGCAACCUGACCACUUCUUCAACAUACACCUGCGCCAACUUGUCCACAAAAUAGCCACUUUUGACCGGGAUGAAGUGACUAGAUUUGGUCAAUCUGUCCAUUAUCACCCAUAUGGAGUCCAAUCUGUUGGACGUUGCUGGUAACCCACCACAAAAUCCAUAGCUAUAUUCUCCCAUUUCCACUCUGGAAUCGGCAGUGGGUUAAGCAUUCCAGCCGGCUUCUGAUGUUCCAACUUCACCCUCUGACAUACCUCGCAAGCGGACAUAAAUUGUGCCACUUCUCUUUUCAUAGCUGGCCACCAAUAAACUUUCUUCAGAUCUUAAUACAUUUUGAUGGCUCCAGGGUGAAUACUGUACCUGGCAUUAUGAGCUUCCCUCAUAAUGUCUCCCUUCAGACUCACAUCAUCUGGUACACAUAACCUGUUCCCAUAGCGGAGGAUCCCUUUGCUGUCAAAUCUGAACUCUUCAUUCUUGUCUGACUAAACAGUCCUGGCAAUUUUCACUAACUCUGGGUCCUCAUGCUGUUUCUGAGCCACCUACUCCAGAAACACGGGUGUCACUCUCAUUUGAGCUAUCAAAGCACCUGUACCAGACAACUCCAACUGCAGCCCUUCAUGAACGAGCUUAUAGAAUUUCCUCACCACCGAUCUUCUCUCUGCUGUAAUAUGGGAUAGACUGCCAAGCGAUUUCCGGCUUAGGGCAUCUACCACAACAUUUGCCUUACCCGGAUGGUACUGAAUUUUGUAAUCAUAGUCACUAAGCAGUUCUACCCAUCUUCUCUGCCUCAGGUUCAACUCUCUCUAACUCAAGAUGUACUGCAAGCUCUUAUGAUCUGUGAAGAUCUCACAUUUAACCCAAUAAAGGUAAUGUCUCCACAUCUUGAGUGCAAAGAUCACAACUGCCAUCUCUAGGUCAUGUGUAGAAUAAUUCAACUCAUGCUUCUUCAGCUGCCUAGAAGCAUAAGCAAUUACCCUCUCAUUUUGCAUCAACACACAACCUAGUCCCACACGGGACGCAUCACAAAACACUGUGAAGUCUUCAUUAUUGGUAGGCAGAGCUAACACCGGUGCUGACGUCAACCUUUUCUUCAGCUCUUCAAAGCUUUCCUCACACUGCUCAGACCACACAAACCUCUGGUUCUUCUUGGUCAGUCUGGUCAUAGGAGCGGCAAUUUUGGAGAAGUCCUGAACGAACCUCUUAUAGUAACCUGCCAAACCCAGAAAGCUCUUAAUCUCUAUAACUGUAGUGGGUCUAGGCCAGUUGGCUACAGCUUCCACCUUAUUGGGGUCCACUUCAAUUCCCUAUUCUGAUACAACAUGCCCCAAGAAUGAGAUGCUCCUUAACCAGAACUCACACUUGGAGAACUUGGCAUACAAGCCAUGCUCCCUCAGGGUCUGCAAAACUAUCCUCAGAUGAUGGGCAUGCUCCUCUGUGUUUCUGGAAUACACUAAGAUAUCGUCAAUGAAAACGAUAAAAAAGUGAUCUAGAUACUGACUGAAAACUCUGUUCAUGAGAUCCAUGAAUGCUGCAGGGGCAUUAGUCAGCCCAAACGGCAUCACUAGGAACUCAUAAUGCCCAUAUCUGGUCCUGAACGCCGUCUUCGGUACAUCUUCUUCUCUGAUUCUCAGCUGGUGGUACCCGAAUCUCAUAUCUAUCUUGAAGAAACAACCUGCUCCAGCUAGUUGGUCAAAUACAUCAUCGAUCCUAGGUAACGGAUACUUAUUCUUAAUAGUGACUUUGUUCAAUUGCCUGUAGUCGAUACAAAGUCUAAAGGAUCCAUCCUUCUUCUUUACAAACAGCACUGGAGCACCCUAAGGUGAGGUACUCGGUUGGAUGAAACCCUUGUCUACCAACUCUUGCAACUGUUCCUUUAGCUCCUUCAACUUUGCUGGUGCCAUCCUGUAGGGAUGGAUAGAGAUUGGUCUAGUUCUAGGCAUCAAUUCUAUUUCGAACUCUAUCUCCCUAGCAGGUGGUAGUCCUGAAAGCUCGUUUGGGAAGACAUCUAGAAACUCUCUAACCACGGGCACUGAGGCGGGCUCUCUAACCUUACUAUCCAGCUCUCUCACAAGAGCUAGAAACCCCUGACAACCCCUCCUGAGCAACCUACGAGCCUGUAGGGCUGCUAUCAGACCUCUAGGCAUACCCCUCCUGUCUCCUCUGAAGACAACCUCUGACCCAUCCUAUCUUUUGAACCUGACUACCUUGUCUCUACAGUCCAAGGUAGCACCAUGAGUAGAUAGCCAAUCCAUCCCUAGAAUGAAGUCAAAAUCAGUCAAAUCUAAAACCACUAGGUCGGUUGGAAGGCAUCUGCUCUCAACAAACACUGGACUAAACCGGCAGACUGACUCUGCCACUGAUGGAUCACACUUGGGUCCACUGACCCAGAGGGGACACUCUAACCUAGAGACUAUCAAACCCAACCUCUCUACGGCUAUCGGAGCAACAAAAGAAUGAGAAGCACCAGUGUAACAGCCCGGAAACCGGUACCCUCUUUGUAACGGUCCGACCCGUUCGGCACUAGGAUCCAGAUCGGCUUAAGGCCGCCUAGACCCGUAGUAAGCCUAUCCUGAACUCUGUGUAGCUGUUAAAAUCCCAUACACGAUCCGACUGGACUAUUAACUGUUAAAACUUUACUUUUAAACCACCAGACUUAACCUUUCAACACACUCUCUAUAGGUCCAAUCAUAUGAACCAAAAUGCUCAGAUAUACUAUCUGAACUAGCCCUUUGGCUAUCUAUAAUACACCAGUGAUGCUCUACCAAGUAACCUCCAUACCCUAUGCGCUCUGCAGCAUAGAACCCACUCUGUAGGGUCAGCAUAUCAUAAGUUAACUUGGCUACCAUAGAGUCACAGGAAUCAAACCUGGUUUUCUCUAGUGGACUCCUCUGUGGAUCACAGGAAUCAAACCUGGUCUUUCCUAUUGCACUGGUCUUGGGUCAAAGGAAUUAAACCCUGUCUUCCCUCACAGUUAUAAUUCACUGGGUUUUCAAAGCACAACAUAUAUUAAGUCUGGUCUGACUCAUUUCUCAUCAAGAAACUGUAAAACAGGAUACAUGCAUACACUAGGGAUUAACAUACACUAGACAAUAGGCAAAAGCACAUUCUAAUACAUUUAUACAUUAACUGACUAACUAUUACAUCACUUUUACAUAUAUCCCUUUAAGUACAUCAUGUCCACACUAUACAAGUACAUAUGCAAUCCUUUAGCAACUCUGAUGCUUCUACCCUUCCCAGCUACUCUGAACCUGCAAAACUGGGAUUAAGGGAAAGGGAUGAGCUUCUAAAGCCCAGUGAGUAGAAACACUGAAAAUAGUUCAUUCAUACGCACUAUAAAUGACAAUGCAUUACAACACAAACAUCUCAAUAUAUCUUGGAGUAGACAUGACCCCAAAACUCCCUCGACGGGCUAUUGAAGUCGCCUUGGUCCAAUCUCCACUAAGGUAGACAUGACCCCAAAAAUACCCUCUGUCAAACACUGGCCCCCCCAAAGGAGCUACACAGGGCAUUCCAACAUGUACUUGCCCAACUGACCUGACACAAUGACAGGAGCCGAAGCUUAGGCUAUUGGAGUCGCCUGGGUCCACCUAAUCUCUGAUCACAUCAUAUGCAAUGCAUCACAUUCGUGAAUCUAAUGCAAUCACCCUAAUAUAUAUCAUAGCAUUCAUGAUGCAUGAACUAUGCUAAAGCAUUCUGUUUCUUUAAUAAAAGAUUAAGGUUAGUUCUACUCACCUCUGCUCCGCAAGCAGAAACCUGACUGACGCUGCAACUGCUAAUCCUGACGACCUCCCUGAACUGUCGGGUCCAAUCCUACACAAAUGGACUCGAAUGAGGUGUCAAACAUACUCUUAUCAAUUCUUAAACCAAGCCCCUAUAAUCCCCUCUGAACCUCUGAAAACAAUCACAUAAACAUGCAAAAGAAGGCUGGACAGAGCACCUUCGGCGGCACCUUCGGCGGCCGAAUNNNNNNNNNNNNNNNNNNNNNNNNNNNNNNNNNNNNNNNNNNNNNNNNNNNNNNNNNNNNNNNNNNNNNNNNNNNNNNNNNNNNNNNNNNNNNNNNNNNNNNNNNNNNNNNNNNNNNNNNNNNNNNNNNNNNNNNNNNNNNNNNNNNNNNNNNNNNNNNNNNNNNNNNNNNNNNNNNNNAGAAAACCUUCACUCUUACCCUUCUAGAACCUCUGACAUUCUGGAAUUCCACCGGAUGGUAAGAAUUCUGAUGCCUGAACUAGCCGGGUAUUACAACCAGGGUCCAUUAAAGCAUACACAUUUGAGCAACCAAUGAUGAGAUUACCUGACACCACGGUGUUGGAUGUGUUUGCCUCCUGCUGUGUCAUAGUGAAGAUCUGAGCUGGAGCUGAUGGACCUUCACCCCGGGAACCUACUGAAGAAGAGGCUGCCCCUCUCCUUCUGCCUCUGCCACUACCAUGAGUCGAGGCUGGAGCUACUGGCUGAGCCACACUAUCAGAUGCCGUCUGCUGGGAUGGUGCCAUAAAAGGUGCCCUAGGACACUCCCGAGCCAUGUGUCCCCCCUGCCCGCACCUGAAGCAGGCUGUGGUCCCAAACCGACAUACUCCCUUGUGUGGCUUGCCACACCUCAAGCAUUCUGAACCAUCUAAACCUGAGCUCGAGCCACCACCUAAACCCAGGCCUAACUUCAAACGGUUCCAGAACUUGCCUUUCUUGGUCUUGGAUCUACCCCACUUUUUACUGCCUGAAGCUGCUGCACUCAGAGAAGAGAGAUCUAACUUUCCCCCGCUUGGGGUCUUGGAACCCGAGGACUGUGCCACUGUCUGCUUAACUGUCCCCUGAAUAAUGGCACUGGCCUCCAUCUUUCGUGCUGCAUCCACUAUGGUGUGGAAGUCCUCUCUCUCUGCGGCCAAAAUUAGGGAGGAAUACCUAGGGUGGAGCCUCAUGGUAUACCUCUUGGCCUUCUUCUGAUCUGCAUCAUAUGCCUGGGCCCACAUAUUGCAGCAACUCCAGAAACUUGUCGGUAUACUCAUCGACACUCAUCUCCUCUGUCUGUCGUAGCUGCUCAAACUCCACAACUUUCAGCUCUCUGGAACUGUUUGGAAAUGCCCAUCCUGCAAACUCAUUUGCAAACUGCUCCCAGGAUAAGCUGUCCAACCUCGGGUCCACAUAAUUCUUGAACCAUUCUCUUGCUUUCUUGCAUUUCAGUGUGAACCCCAUCAUCUGAAUGGCUCUACUGUCAUUUGCCCCCAACUCAUCUGUAAUCAUCUUUACCGUUUUGAGAUACUCAAACGGAUCAUCUCCCGUCUUGAACUUGGGAGCAUCCAGCUUCAAGUAAUCGGUCAUCUUUACCUUGCUCCCCACAGAUGAGCUAGGCUUGGGUGUUUGGGUUUCAGGGGCUACUGGUUCUGCUGGUGGAGAAGGAGGUGCAGCAUUCCCUGGGUUAGGGUUUGUUGUACUUGGGUAGAAGGGUGAGGGUGGAUACAUGGGGUACUGGGGAUAUGGUGGGUAAAAAGGAGGGUAGGGCAUGUAAGAGGGAUAUGGGUUGAAGUUGGAGUACUCCGAUGUACCCCCCAUCGGAUACCAUAGGCCCUGUGGAAAGGGUUGAUACUGGGGUGGAUAACCAAACCCCGAGGCCUGAGCGCCUCCUUGAGAUUCUCCUAUGCCCUCUUCCGACAUGCUCAUGCCCAAGCUACCAUCUCUUCUCUGCUCAUCCUCCUUUGAUCCCGUUACAUCAGCUGACAAACCACCUUGAACUGUUCCCCUUUUGCUCACAUCAAAAGACCUUCUAGGGUCCCUUGAUGUUCCCUCUCUACUUGAUCUGCAUGACAUUGCCCUUGGCAAAGCAGGGGGACGGGCAUCCAUGCCCUCAUUCUCUAGUGGGACUCCAGUCAAUCGUGCAGAUCGAUGAGUGCCUCGCAUCUUACUUCUAAAAAACAACAUACAACACAUAAACAUCAGUAUCAAAUGGUUCAUGUGGAAACACAUGAACCCACAUCACAUACAUCACAUAACACUAAUGCACAUGCAUAUCAUUAUGGCAUUUCACAUCAUUAUCAAGACAGGACUCUAUAUCCUAUCCUAGUGGACAUGAUUCUUCCUAUUGUGCUUGCCCUUCUAUAACAUCUAUGAGCCCGACACACUCUAGGUCCGACCAUAUGAACCUAGGGCUCUGAUACCACUUUGUAAUGACCCGGAAACCGGACCGCUACCGGCGCUAGGAUCCAGAUCGACUUAAGGUCGCCGGGACCCGUAGCAAGCCUACUAUACAACCUGUACACCUGAUUAAAUCCCAUACAUGAUCAAACAUUUUUAUAACAACUUUAAACUUUCCAUAUACUAACCUUGACCUGUGCAUGCACCAUAACUGUAAACACAAAACCCCACACUAGAGCCCUCAUCAAAUGCCCUAGCGGGGUAGCAUAUCAUAUGUUAAGCCUGAUUCAACAUAAUUCAUCAUCAAAACAUUAACACAAGAUCAUGUACAAAAAAGGGAUUACCGCUACUAUUAGGGCCAAGCACAAAACUAAAACAUGAAACAUUCUUUACAUUACAUUACAUCAUACCAUUUUACAUUUCAUGUCCACUACUAAUCUAUUACAAUAACACAGCUUUCAAUCUUGACGACUUCCCGAUCUAUCCUGAACCUGCAAACCUUGGGGUUAGGGGAAAGGGGGUGAGCUACAAAAGCCCAGUGAGCAGAAAAAUAAAACAAUUUCAAUAUCACAUGUUUUUAUGAAAUGCAUCACAACACAAGUAAAUCACCUUAAGAUAGUAUUGUCACCAAUAGCCCUCUACAUAUCCAAUAAAUGCCCGGCCCUCGACGGAGCUGCUCAGGACUUCCUCUUAAACAUAACAUAACAUGUCCAACUGUACCAGGGGUGUAGAAUGGGCAACCCUGGUCUUUCCCUUACUCUGUGCCAGGGGCGUAGAAUGGGCAGCCCUGGUCUUUCCAUAUCAUAUCAUCAUAUAUCGAGAGCUAAUGGAUCAUCCAAUAUCCAUCCACAUCAACAACAAAUUAUGCAAUGCAUCAUAUUCGUGAAUUCUAAUGCAACAACCUAUAAACAUGGCAAUCGUGAUGCAUGAACAUGCUUAGGAGUUUAAUUACUUUAAAAAUAGAAAGUAGUUCUGUUCUACUCACCUCUGGUAGAUACUGGACUGACUCUGAAGCAGCUAUCUCACUGCUGAACUCCUCGGUUCCUCGAGUCCGAUCCUACACAGGUGGACUCAAAUGAGGGACCAAACAAACUCUAACAUGACUCUUAGCAACUCCCCAAAAACUCCUAAAACAUCAUAAAAUAUUCAUAGAAAACAUGCAAAGGAAGGCUGCACAGGGCACUUUCGGCGGCAGGUUCGGCGGCCGAAAGUCCCUCCAGAGCCGAAAGUCCGGCACUUUCGAGGGCAGGGGUCGGCGGCCGAAAGUCCUUCUAAAGCCGAAAGUCACCCACUUUCGAGGGCAGGUUCGGCUGUCGAAAUUACCCUCCAAAGCCAAAAGUCCAAACUUUCGGGGGCGAGUUUAGGCGGUCUAAACUGCCUUCCCUGGCAGGUUCGGCGGUCGAAUCCUGCUUCGGCGACCGAACCUGGAUCCUUCGGAGUGGCAGAACUCGAUUCUGCCAUCCCACAUUCAGCCAUCCCAACUUUCCAACAUGCAUUCAACUAUUCUAAAACAUGCAUAAACACUUAUUCAAGCAUAUAGGGGCAUAAAACUAGCCUAUACCCCAAGAAACAUCACAUUAAGCAUACAUUUAUCAAUAACCACACAUAAACUCUAACAUUUUUACAACUAGCCUAAACAUACAUCAAAACCCUUAACCCCUUCAUAAAACUUACUUAAAACAUCAUAAGAGGUGUGGAUCGACAUUUACCUCUUGAAGAUCGAGAGGAGAGUUGAUCCAAACUUGGAGAUUGGGAGAAAACGAGCUCCAGGGGUCUCCAAGCUUCAAAACUCUGAUCUUAGCUCAAAACCUUCAAAACAAAGUAAAAACCCAUCAAAACUUCAAGGGAUUUGAAGGAAAACAACAAAUCGACCAUGGAAGGGCGAAAUCUCACCUAUGCCCGAAAAUAGAGAGAGAAAACUCGCCCAUUUUCGGACAAGGGGCCUUUUAUAGGUGGCUGGCCAGACCACCUUCGGGGGCCAAAGGUGCUUCCGCAAACUCCCAAUGUUCGGCGGCCAAACUUGAGGUUCGACGGCCGAACUUGGGUUUUCUUCCUUGGUCUUUUUCUUUCAAAACUCAAUUUCUUUCUUUAUUAAAACCAUAAAAACACAUGAAAACACUUUAGAAAACCAUAUUCUACGCUUCUAGAGGGUUACGACAUCUGAGAUUCCGUCGGAAAGUGGGAAUUCCGAUGUCGGGGUCUGGCCGGGUGAUAGAGCAUAUUUUAGUCCAUAUUAUCCAUAUGUUCUUGAUGUUUAUUUGCAUCUUUUCUGCUUAAUUUUGUGGUUUUAAUCAUGCUUUGCAGAUAUUAGGUGUAAAGAGACAAUCUGGAGAAAAUGCUCUUCAAACUGCCAAAAAGUGCCAAAUAUGGAAAAUGCCAAAAAAGGAAAGUUUUCAAAUAUGGAAAGUGCUAAAUAAGGAAAGUUUUCUGAUAAGGAAAGUGCCAGACAAGGAAAGCACAAUCAACAGAUUCUUUGAAAUUCAAAUUGCAGAUUCUUCUUUCCUUAUUCAGAAGGUGAAGCCAAUUAUGGAAAGUGUCAAAUAAGGAAAGUUUUCAGAAAAGAAAAGUCCUCAAAUAAGGGAAGUGCAGAAGCAAAAGCAAAUAAGGAAAGCUCAGUUAGAAGAUUAUUUGAAAUUCAAAUCGCAGAUCUUUCUUUCCUCAUUCAAAGAUGUGCACACACUGCAACAGUCAUAUCUUCCUAUUCAGGCAGCAAGAUCUCAUGAAGACGCACUUGCCUCUUCUGCGUUCAGCAUUUAAAAUUCAAACGAAGGCUCCACCUAAAAAGGAAAGACUGGAAAGAUUCACUUUCCCUUCUGCAUUCAAUGACUGCGCUCCACUUCCUCUUCUGCAAUCCGCGCGCAUCCUUCCUCUUUUGAAGCCUGAUCCGCGCGCCUCCUUCCUUCUGGAGAAUUUGCAACGCGAUUCUUUCCUUUUUAGCACUUUGGGCAGCCUCUUCACUAAUUAGGAAGCAAGUAUGACCUAGGACAGUACUUUCAACUAUAAAAAGACACAUAAGGAGCCUCCACACAACUUUUACACACCACCUUGGAGACACCUACGAAAUUCACAUCUCUUCUUCUACCUUUCUUCUUUUCUUUUAUUUUUAAUUUUGUUUCAGCCAUGAGAGGCUGAAAUCUUUUAUUCUAGUUGAAGAUUAGGUGAUACUUUAGUUGUUUUAUGGAUUGGGAGACUUGAUUAAACAUUGUUAAACUUUUGGUUGUUCAAUAUUCAUGCAAUUUCAUGCUUGAUUUCAAUAUUACUUUGUUCUUUAGAUUUACGUUGAUUCUUGAUUGCAAAGUAAUAAUAUGUUAGUUUGGAUGAUUUAAGUCCGUAAUUGCUUGAGUUAUUCAAACAUAAGAACACUUGGUGUAAAAACUAAGGAAAUUGUAUGAUCUAGCAACAUCUCAUGCGUUUGAGUAGUUAGGAUUGGAUCUCUCUCUUUCUUCAUGCAAUUAACAAUUGUUUGAUGCCUAAGGUCCAAGGACGUUCCUUGGGAAUUUGUUAAUUAGUAAUUAAUUAGAGGACGUUCCCUAAUUGGUUUAAUCAUAAGGAGAGACAUGGUGGUGCGAAGCGUCUUCCAUCUCCAUAACUAAUCUAUUGAAUCAAUCAAAAGAAACUAAGUGUCAAUGAUCAAUCCCAACAACUGAAGUGGAUCCAAUUCUUCAACUAGAGCUUUCUUAUUAUUUAUUUUUUUAUUUUAUUAUUCGCUUAUUUUAAUUGUUUUCAGUAGUUUGUUAAUCAAAUCAAUCUCAAACCCCUCAUUUUACUUUUACUGUAAUUUAUUUUUAUUCCACUUUCAGUUUAUCUCGUUUUCAGUUUUAUCUCGUUUCAAUUUAUUUUGCUUUUCGUUUAUUUCUCUUUCAGUUUUAUCUCGUUAUAUCUCGUUUCGGUUUAUUUUGCUUUCCGUUUAUUUCUCUUUUAGUUUUAUCUCGUUUCAGUUUAUCUCAUUUUCAGUUUUCUUCUUUUUCAGUUUAUUUUUGUUUUAGUUUAUUUUAUUGGUCUUGAUAAGGAAAAUAGGUAAGUUCUCAAUUCCAUGUGGAUUCGAUCCUUUCACCACUAUUUGCAGUUGUAAAUUGUUAAUAACCAGAAAGGUUAUUUUUGACCGGCUUCGACAACCGCGAGUCACCAGAUAUUACAAUUUAGGCUUAAAGGGUUGGAAAAUUUAAUGGGGUCAUGAGAUAGGAGGCUCUUUUAACUUUGUCAUUUAUGCUGAGUAGAGCAAAGGCUAAAAAAAAAUCUCUGUGUGUGUGCAUGUGUGCAGAAGUGGAAAAGAAAUGUGUGUGAGAAAAAAAAUUUUGGUGUGUGUAAAAGGGUAGAAAAUGCAAAAAGAAGAAAAAAAGAAAGCAAAAGAUGGUGCAAACAGUGCAAAAAUGUUCUCUAGUACCCCCACACCUAGUCUAAACAUUGUCCUCAAUGUAAAAUGUAUAAAGAAGAAGAAUGAGAGAGAGAGGGACUUCCUAGCCUGUGGGUGAUUUGGUCAGUGACUUGGGCAAAUCACUCGGCCAAAUCACUAGCUGUCAUGGUCUGUGGGCAGAAAAUUAUCUACUAGCAGUUGCAGUAAGUGCUCCAUGUGUUGCAUUCUAUCUUCAAUUCUGCUGAGACGAGCGUCUACUGUCUGAUCUUGAGGUGCUUCUGGUGGUACCUCUUCUGCUUCUUGCUGUGGUGCCUCUGGAGGUGCCUCUUCUGCUGGUUCCUUUACUACCACCUUUACUGUCUCAUCUGCUGGUUCUUCUACUGGAGCAGAGUGCUGAGAGGUUGUUGGCUGAUUGGCUAUUUUCUUUCUGAAUACACGCUCAUGGCGUGGUGUGAUGGGUCCUGCAGGUGCAAUAGAAAAAACUUCCCCCAUUUUGCAAAGCAACCCCAUAUCAUCCAAAGUGCGAAGGUCCAGGGGGGUUAGUUUGUUGGUGGGGGUAAGGUCAGUGUGAGUAGGAUGUAGUAGUUUCAUAUUUACUGCAAUGGAAGUGAUCAAAUGGCCAAGGAUCAACCCAGUAGCCCAAGUAAAGUUUUUGGUUUGUGGACAUACUCCAUAUAAUGUAUAACUCUGUUCCGGUCAGGAUGUUGGGUGCAUCCUUCCUCCCAGAAAAUGUAUAUGCUAAGAACCUGUGUAAAUACUUAAGGCAGGGAUUUCUGAUGUACAGGUCUUUGGACUUUGUGGGUGAGUAUGUGUCAGGUGGGUUGUCACACAAUUCCUCAUAGGCAGUGCCGGGAUUGAACUCAGUGGGGAAAUCUCAGGUGGAAUCAGGCAUUCACAACCCAUGGCAGCACUGAAUUCAUGCAGGGACAAGCGAAAUCACUGUCCUAACAGCCUAAAUCCAACAGUAUCUGGUGUGUGCAGUGUGGUCAUGGCUGACUUGUCAAAAUAGAAUGUAGUGAAGAACUCAUGAGUGAGCUCAGUGAAGGCAGGCAUGUGUAGAUAGAAAAAAGUGUUCCAUCCAAUUGCAUCAACAAAAAAGCAUACCUGUUCUUGAAGUCCUAGUGCUUCAAGUGUGCUGUGAUGGAUGAACUUACCUGGGUGGUAUGGCAGAGAAGAGACAUUGUCCAGCCUGGAGCGUUCGGAUGGCUUGUUGAAGGUCAGGGCCUUUGUCACAUGGUCUGGGUUUGCUGGUUUGGGCAAAUCGUUGGGCAAAUUGCCUUCGUCGUGGCUCACAGGAGAUGUGUUUGGUGCAUCACUGGGGACUUCUGGCCGUCGCUUUGGGCUCGGCGGUGGUGAUGAUGAAGGCGUUCUUGGCCAUUUCUGUCCAUGGCUAGUGGAAGGGGUGGCGUCAGAAAGCGAUUCGUCUUUAGGGGUAUCUAUCGCGAUGGUUGGUGUGGCAGGUGGUGGGGCAAUCAUCGAUGCCCUAGUUUGUCGGCGAUAAGUCUGGGCGACUAGUCUUUCGAUGUUUCUUGUUUCGUCAGCCGUCCCUGUGUUCGUGUCAUCGGCGAUGGGGGGAGGGUUGUCUAUGGCCUCCUCGUCACUGUGAGUGGGAAUACGAAUGGGCCUGGGCAUCCCGCGCUUCCUCCACAUGCCGGGGCCGCCGGUGGCCAUCAUCUUGGUUCUGGCCAUGGUUCUUGAUGUCGUCAGUGAUGGAAAUCUUGGGGAAGAAGAAACAAAUGAAGCAGAAAGAGAUAGUGUGAGGAAAAAGAAAAAAGAAAAGAAAACUAUUUAAAGUGAUUUGGGGAAGUUGAACUGCCCUGAUCAUUAAAUGCUGAGUUUGUGACUUCUCGGUAGGGUGGUUUGGCAGUGAUUUGGGUAAAUCACCUGGCCAAAUCACUUCUUCGUUGCAAUUGCUUGAUUGGCCCUGGUCACGUCCUUUUCUGUUGAUGGUCGAGUCUUGUCGCUUUGGCCUGUCGAUUUGGGCAAAUCACCUGCCCCAAUCACUCGUGACUAUGGUACAGUAAGUCGAUUUGCCCCAGUGAUUUGGGCAAAUCACUUCAGCUGGGCUGCCUCCCAGUAGCGCCCUGGUUUUUUGUCUUGGGCUGGACUGCUGUGCCUUGAUCAGCAGGUUGGGGGAGGGGUAUCCAAGGGUACUUCCUCCAUAAGGUGCACAGUAAAUCCCUCAUAGAAGUGCUUCAAAUGUUGCCCAUUAACUUUGAAAAUCUUGCUUGUUUCUGGAUUGCGUAUGUCUACAGCCCUAUGUGGAUAGAUGUGUUCCACCAAGAAUGGCCCAAUCCAUCUAGACCGAAGCUUCUCAGGAAAUAAUUUGAACCUUGAGUCGAAAAGCAAGACCUUAUCACCUACCUGAAAUUGUUUUCUGGAGAUAUGUUUAUCAUGGAAGGCUUUAGUCUUGGCUUUAUAGUCCCAUAAAGCUUCAUAUGCAUCACGCUGAAUUUCCUCUAGUUCUUGAAGUUGUAAUUUUCUGUGGGCUCCAACUUCUUUCUCAUUAAGAUUACAUCUUUUAACAGCCCAAUAGGCUUUAUGUUCAAGUUCCACGGGUAGAUGGCAAGCUUUCCCAUAGAUCAGCCUAUAUGGGGACAUUCCAAUUGGUGUUUUGUAGUCUAUUCUAUAUGCCCACAAGGCAUCAUUGAGGCACACACUCCAAUCCUUGCGAUUUGGGCAGACUGUCUUCUCAAGGAUGGACUUGAUCUCUCUAUUUGAUACUUCGGCCAGCCCAUUUGUUUGAGGGUGAUAGGCAGUGGAGGUUCUAUGGACAACAUGGUGCUUUUUGAGGAGGGUUUCCACUACCUUGUUGCAGAAAUGAGUGCCUCUAUCACUGAUUAUGGCUUUGGGCAAACCGGAUCUGAAGAAGAUGUGGGAUUUCACAAAGUCUACAACCACUUUUGCAUCAUCAGUCCUUGUUGCUUUGGCCUCAAUCCACUUGGACACAUAGUCCACGGCCAGCAGUAUGUAGGUGUUGCCAAAGGAAGGUGGGAAUGGUCCCAUGAAGUCAAUACCCCAUAUUUCAAAGAUUUCACAAACCAUGAUGGGUGCUUAUGGCAUUUCACUUCGAUUGCUGAGGUUUCCCGUUUGUUGGCAUCUUGCACAUGCCCUACAAAAUAGAUAAGUAUCUCGAAAUAUGUUAGGCCAAUAUAACCCACAUUCAAGGAUCUUUAGGGCUGUUUUGCAUGGACCAAAAUGUCCUCUAUAGCCGUAUGAGUGGCAAAAGGCUAGGACUGAAGAAAUUUCUUGAUCAGGGAUGCAUCUUCGUAUUACUUGGUCUGCACAAUGCUUCCAUAGGUAAGGUUCAUCCCACAGAUAAUCUCUUGCAUCUUUCUUGAUCUUGUCUCUCAUGUAUUUGGGCAAAUCAAAAGGUAAAUUACCUGUAGCUAGGUAAUUUACUAUAUUAGCAUAUCACGGUUCUUCUUCUUGGAUAGCAAAUAGGUACUCAUUAGGGAAGGUUUCAUUGAUGGGGCAUGUCUCCAUUUCUGAAGGUAUUCGGCUGAGGUGAUCAACUACAAGGUUCUCCUUCCCCUUUUUGUCAUAGAUUUCCAGAUCAAAUUCUUGUAACAGCAGUAUCCAGCGUACCAGCCUUGGUUUUGACUCCUUUUUCUUGACCAAAUACCUCAAUGCAGCAUGAUCUGAAUAGAAAAUCACCUUUGUCCCAAGUAGAUAGGACCGAAAUUUCUCCAAUGCAAAACAUUACGGCCAGCAACUCUUUUUCUGUUAUGGAGUAAUUAUAUUGUGUUGCAUCUAAGGUGCGUGAGGCAUAGUGAAUGACAUGAGGAGAGUUACCUAUGCGCUGUCCCAAUACUGCACCUACAGCAAGUUACUGGCAUCGCACAUGAUCUCAAAUGGAAGGGUCCAGUCAGGAGGCUGGAUGACUGGGGUAGUGACCAGCAGUGAUUUGAUCAAAUCAAAGGCUGUUCUGCAGCUUUCAUCAAAGUCAAAUGGCACAUUCUGUUGAAACAGCCUGCACAAUGGCUGAGUUAUCUUGGAAAAAUCUUUGAUGAACCUCCGGUAGAAACCAACAUGGCCAAGGAAUGAGCGAAUCUUCCGAAUGAUGGUUGGAUAGGGUAGGCUCUUGAUGGUGUCCACUUUGGCUUUAUCUACCUCUAUCCCUUUUGCAGAAACAACGUGGCCUAGGAUUAGACCGUGGUUGACCAUGAAGUGACACUUCUCGUAGUUUAAGACCAGAUUUGUCUCCAAGCAUCUUUGAAGUAUCUUCUCCAAGUUGGCUAGGCAUUCAUUGAAUGAGUUGCCAUACAUCGUGAAAUCGUCCAUGAAGACUUCAAUAAUCUUCUCCACAUAGUCAGAAAAAAUACUCAUCAUGCAUUGUUGGAAUGUGGCUGGUGCAUUACAAAGGCCAAAGGGCAUCCUCCUAAAUGCGAAGGUGCCAAAUGGAUAGGUGAAGGUGGUCUUUUCUUGAUCUUCAGGUGCAACAGGGAUUUGAUAAAAUCUCGAAUAUCCAUCUAGACAGCAGUAGUGGCUUUUUCCUGCAAGUGUCUUAAGCAUUUGGUCCAUGAAGGGCAAGGGAAAGUGGUCCUUCCUUAUGGCUGCAUUGAGCUUUCUAUAAUCCAUGCACACUCUCCACCCAUUUUGCACACAAGUAGGUACUAGCUCUCCUUCAGAAUUGGGGACAAUGGUAAUCCCAGUCUUCUUUGGUACUAUAUGGAUAGGACUCACCCAUUUGCUGUCAGAGAUGGGGUAGAUGACCCCAGUGUCAAAGAGCUUCACUAUUUCUUUCUUCACAACCUCCAUCAUUGGGGGAUUCAGCCUUCUUUGAGCCUCACGGACAGGUUUGCACUCCUCUUCCAUAAGUAUUCGUUGCAUGCAUGUUGAUGGUGAGAUGCCCUUUAUGUCUUCCAAGGUCCACCCUAAGGCUUUUUUGUGCUUUCUCAACACCUCUAGGAGACUUUCUUCUUCUUGUUGGCUUAGCUGAUUAGACAUUAUGACUAGUAGUGUUUUUUCAGCUCCUAAGUAGGCAUAUUUGAGGUGCCCUGGUAGAGGUUUCAGAUCUGGUGCAGUUGCUGUCUGCUCACUGAUUUAGGCAGAUUGUCUAAUGCAUGUUCUGGUGAUCUGGUCAAAUCACCCUUAGUCAUGUCUGUAUGUCCCAGUGAUAUGGGCAAGUCAGGAUCUGCAUGUUCUGUUGAUUUGGUCAAAUCAUCUGCAACCAGUAAGGUACAGCAUGUUGUCUCCCCUGCAUCUAUCUUGGUGUUGCUGCUGUCCAUGUCUUCUUGCUUGCAUAAACCAGCAUUAAGUAUGUUAUCUUGAUCAAAAUUAAAGAUUUCUUGACUUAAAUCAUCAAUAAUAUCAAGGCCAUAAACAGGAGACACAUCAUUGGGAAAUUUCAUGGCAUCAUAAACAUUAAACUUGAUAACUUCCCCUUCAAACUCCAUAGUCAAUGUGCCAUCAUGCACAUCAAUUUUGGUUAUGGCUGUGCUCAAGAAUGGUCAUCCAAGUAGGAUGUCAGAGGUUGUGUUGCUUUUAUCCUCCUCCAAGUCAAUUACAUAAAAGUCUGCUGGGAAGACUAGUUGAUCCACUUGUACUAAUACAUCUUCUAGGACUCCUUUGGGGUAAACAAUGGAUCGGUCGGCCAAUUGGAUCACUAUGCUGGUGCCCUUAAGUGUACCUGCAUUCAACAAGUUAAAGAUGGAAAGUGGCAUAACGUUGAUUGAUGCCCCAAGGUGACACAUGGCCUUCUUUAUCCCCACGUUGCCUAUCUUGCAUGAUACGACAAACAUUCCUCUAUCCUUGCAUUUGGUUGGAAGCUUCCUUUGAAUGACAGCUGAGACACACUCCCCCACACUUACCUUUUCACGUUCAGCAAGUUUCCUUCGAUUGGUGCAUAGCUCUUUGAGAAAUUUGGCAUACCUUGGUAUUUGUUUGACAGCAUCUAGUAGAAGUAUGUUGAUUUCCACCUUGCGGAGUGUCUCAAGCAUUUCUCUUUCCUCUUUUUCUUUCUGGGAUCUUGCAAAUCUUCUUGGGAAGGGGGGAGGUACCUUAAAUUUCUCCAUUGGUUGCUGGUCUGCCUUGGUCUGCUUGGAGCUGGAUUCUGCCUGGGUCGUUGAUUUGGAAAAAUCAACUUCUGCCUUAUCUGGAGAUUUGGGCAGAUCGUCUCUGCUGGGCAGUUCAGUUUGUCCACUGAUUGGGUCCGCGAUUUGGGCAAAUCGACGCCCCUGAUCAUUUUCUGGCAGAUUCUCCUCAGUGACCUGUUUCUGCAUUUGCUCAGCCCUGCUGUCUUGAAGCUCUUUCCCACUUCUCAAUGUGAUGGCACUAGCAUUCUGCCUUGGAUUGAUUUCAGUUUAGGAGGGUAGCUUUCCUUGUGAUUCAAGUUUACUCAUUGAAGUGGCCAUUUGACUCAUUUGCUGCUCAAGGUUUUGCAUAGUGUUUGCUAGGGACUUCACAAUCUCUUCAAGGGGUGUGUUGGACUUUUGAGGUGCAGCUGGGGCUGGAUUUCUUUGCUGGUAGCUUGGAUAUUGAUUGGCCCUUGCAUAACUGAAAUUUGGGUGGUCCCUCCAACCUGGGUUGUAGGUGUUAUAGAAUAAGGAUCAUACCUUCUUUGCCCAUUAAAUCUGCCAACUACAUUUACUUGUUGGUCCUCUUCUUGGAGGGAAGGACAUAGAUCAGUUGGGUGGUUUAUGUUUGCACAUAUCCCACAUGAUUUUGGCUACUGAAUUUGCUGGGCUUGUUGGGUUUGACCCACAAUAAGGCUACGGACAGCAUUAGUGAGAUUAGAGAUUUGAGAUGCUAAAGUGGAUGUACUCACCUCAUUCACCCUUCUUGGUGGCUGUUCUUAGUCUCCAAAUUGCUGAGAGGCUGCUGCCAUGGUGGAAAUUAAAUUCCUUAUUUCUUGAGGUGAUUUGUCUUCAAUUGAUCCUCCACAUGCUGCAUCAAUAAAUUUUCUUUCUGAAGGUAGUAAACCUCCAUAGAAAUAUUCGAUGAGUGAUUUGUCAGAAAUAUCAUACUGAGGGCAGCUUGUGCAUAACCUUUUGAACCUCUCCCAGUACUCAUACAAGCCUUCAGAAUGCUUUUGCCUUAUGCCACUUAUCUCUCGACGGAUGCCAAUGGCUUUUGAGGUUGAAAAGAAUUUGCUCAAUAAUGCUCUCACCAUACCGGCCCAUGAUGUGAUGGAUCCGAGUGGCAAGUAGAAUAGCUAAUCCUUAGCAUAGUCAUCAAGGGAAAAAGGAAAAGCUCUAAGUUUAACAUGAUCUUCUGAAAUACCUUGGGGUCUCAUGGUUGAGCACACAAUAUGGAAUUCCUUCAAAUGCAUGUGGGGAUCCUCAUUUUCUAGGCCUCUAAAUUUGGGAAGGAGAUGGAUCAGGCAUGUCUUUAAUUCAAAGGGUGCUAUCAAUAGGGGAUAGGCAAUGCAUAAUGGUGCCUGAUCUCCUGCUGGUACAGCUAGCUCGCGGAGUGUUCUCUCCCGUGGCUGUGGUGCACGGAUGGGCACAUUUUCAGCUUCAGCUUCAACUUCUUCAUAUGCAGCAGGUGGUUCUACCAUUGUUUGAUUUUCUGCAGUAACCUGAAAUUCUGUUUCUGGUUCAAAUGCAGCAGUAGCAGGUGCGGCAGUAGGCGAAUUUGCUGGUGCAAUAAAUUCUGCAGCAGGGGCAGUAGCUAUUUUAUCAGAUGGUUCAACGGCAGAUUGAGUGGUAGACACUCGACUUGUUGCUGUCGCCGAUGAAGAUGCUUUUGAGGCUUGGUUCCUCAAGUUUGCUUGCUUUUUCAAGCUCUUGGCAGUGCGUUCUAUCUCCAGAUCGUAAAGAAGAGUUUCUUUACGGCCAGCCCUGGUCAUAAAGGGAAAAUACGUUAGUUUAAAUCAAAUCCCCAGCAACGGCGCCAAUUUUUUAUAGCGGUUGUUGAAGCCGUAAAAAAUAAACCUAUUAUAGUGGCAAUAGGGUCGAACCAUAGGGAUUUGAUACUAAAGAUCUUCCUAAUUAUGACUUGGACAAGUAAAUAAAAAAAAUAAAUAAAAAGAGGGGGGUUUGUUUUGAUGAUAAUGAAUUAAAACUAAAUAGUAAGAGAAAGCGAUAGUUAAAAAGAUGAGUAAAUCAAUGGGAGAAAAGCUCUAGUUGAAGUAUGAAUCUAUUUCUGUUGUUUAGAAUUGAUCAUUGAUUCUUUGACACUCCUAUUUAUUUCAAUAAAUUAGUUUAGGUUGUGGAAGAUGCUUCUCACAACUAAAUUCCUCCUUAGUUUUAGUUUGACUAGGAAAUGUUCGCUAAUCAAAUACUAGUCAACAAGUUGCCAAGGAAUGUCCUUGGAGUUUUUUACUUUUCAACUGUUGACUACAUUAAGACUUAGAGAAACCUAAUUCUAACCUUGCCAACCGCGUGGUCAAGUUUAGAUUAUUCAACCAAGUGUGCUUAUGUUCAAACAAUAUAAGCAAUUACAGACCUAAAUUAUUUAAACUAACAAUUUAUCACUUAUGCAAUUAAAAGCAACAUGCCUUAAUUGAUUCUAAUAGCAAAGCAAUAAUAGCAUGAAGAACAAGUUGCAUAAAUAUUGAAAAAUAAAAGUUUAACAAUGGAGUUUUAAAUCUUUCAAUUCAUCACAAAACUGAAAUUUUCCAACUUCAACUAGAAUAGAAGGUGUUUAGCCAUUCAUGGUGGACAAAAAUACACAAAAAGAAAGAAGAAAAGUAGAAGAAGAGAGCUGCUGUGUUGCUUGCUGAAUUUCUGCAGUAAAUUCGAUGCCCCCCUGCUGGUUUGUUGCUGUCUCCUUUUAUAGGUGAAGUGUCUUAGUCCAAUUAGGAUUUGGAAUCCUAAUUUGACUUGGUCUUUUGUAGUCUUUUAUUCGUUCUUUGCUUUUGUAUUUAAUCAUGAAUAAAUCUUCUUCUUAGAGAAAGUCUUUCUUGGGAGUGACUCUUGGAGAUGUCAUAGGAUUGGUUUUGUGGUGUUUGAAGUAGGAUAGGACUCCAACAUUUUUGAAAUUAUGAUUUUUCCUUCUUCCCGGGCUGCUGUCCUUGUCUGCGUCAUUUUGAUUUGGGCAGUUGAUUUGGGCAAAUCGCUUGCCCAAAUCGUUUCUGUGAGUCACUUCCAGGUUUCUGCUUCAGCCUUCUGCUUCAGUUUUAUGCGGGUGAUUUGGCCAAAUCCCUUCGGCCAAAUCAAUUUUCCAGCUUUUUCUGCAAUUUUUCUCCAAGUUUCCAGUUUUCUCCUUUUCUGUAAAAAUAUCAUAAGAACAUGAAUUAAACUAGAAAAAUGUGUAAAUAAAUAGUAAUAAAGAUAGUAAAAAUAUGGCUAAAUUAUGUUUGAUCAAUAUCUAAACCAUAAACAGGGCACAUGUCAUAGGGGUAUUUCAUGGCAUCAUAAACAUUAAAUUUUAUUACUUCCCAUUCGAAUUCCAUGGUCAAUGUGCCAUCAUGCACAUCUAUCUUAGUUCUGGCCGUGCUCAAGAAGGGUCGUCCAAGCAAGAUGUCUGAGGUGGUGUUGCUAUUGUCCUUCUCCAUGUCAAUCACAUAGAAAUCUGCUGGAAAAACAAGUUGAUCCACUUGUACUAGAACAUCUUCUAGAACGCCUUUAGGAUAUACCACAAAUCUAUCAGCCAAUUGUAUGACCACUCUAGUGUCUUUAAGUGCACCUGCAUUCAAAGAAUUAUAAAUGGAAAGUGGCAUAACGUUAAUUGAUGCACCUAGGUCACACAUGGCCUUCUUGAUGCCCAGAUUGCCAAUUUUAAAAGAGACAACAAACAUCCCUCUAUCUUUGCACUUGGUUGGGGGUUUCCUUUUUAUCACGGCAGUAACAACUUCUCCCACACUCACCUUUUCCUUCUCUGCAAGCUUCCUUCAGUUUGUGCAUAAUUCCUUCAAGAACUUGGCGUACCUUGGUAUUUGUUUCACCGCAUCAAGCAAAGGUCUGUUAAUCUCCACUUUCCUAAAGGUUUCAAGGACCUCUCUUUCUUCUUUUUCUUUUUGUCAUUUUUCAAACCUUUUUGGAAAGGGAGGUGGAAUCUUGAAGCUUACUUGCUGGUUUGUAUUCUGCUGGUGUACUGGUGCUGUUUGCCCAGUCUGUUCGAGCAAACAGUGUUUUGGCUGCUUGGGCAAAUUGUCCUUGUCCUGCUGUGUAUGUUGUCUGCUUGUUUGCCCAGUCUGCUUGGGCAAACAGCAGUCUGUCUCAGUUUCUGGUAGAUUUUCUUCAGCAGCUCGUUUUGGCAAUCGUGAACCUCCAUCAUCAGCCUUGACAUCUUGAAGUUCUCUCCCACUUCUCAACACGAUAGCACUUACAUUUUGCUUGGGAUUUGCCUCGGUUUGGAAAGGUAAUUUCCCUUGAGAUUCAAGUUUGCUCACAGAGGUGGCUAUUUGACCCAUUUACUGUUGGAGACUUUGCACAGUAUUUGCCAAUGACUUCAUCAUCUCCUCAAGGUGCGUGUUGGAGUUUUGAGGUGCUGCUUGGGCUAGGUUUCUUUGAUAAUUUUGGUAAUUGUUAGCCCUAGCAUAGUUAAAGUUUGGAUAGUCCCUCCAAUCUGGAUUGUAAGUGCUAGAGUAUGGAUUAUGUCUUGGCUGGCCAUUGAAUCCUCCAAUUGCGUUUACUUGCUGGUCAUCCUCUUGAAGUGUAGGACAUUGAUCGGUUGGAUGUCCCACUUGUGCACAUAUCCCACAUGGCCUAAUUUGCUGAAGUUGUUGAGCUUAUUGGGAUUGACCUAUAAUAAGACUUCUCACAACAGAUGUUAGUUCAGAAAUUUGAGAUGUAAGAGCAGAUAUACUUACCUCGUUAGCUCUUCUUGGUAGCUGCCUUUCAUCUCCAUAUUGUCUAGAUGCGGCUGCAAGUGUUGAAAUCAGAUGUCUAAUUGCUUGAGGUGUUCUAUUUUCAAUUGAACCUCCACAUGCUACAUCAAUAAAUUUUCUUUCAGAUGGUAGCAAACCUCCAUAGAAGUAUUCUAUGAUUGAUUUAUCUGAGAUGUCAUGUUGAGGGCAGCUUGUGCACA
rnacentral:lncRNA from 1 species